AAAACAGCCUGCUCAGUCAGACAGCUCUCAGAAGAACAGUGAGGUGUGUUAGUGCUGCAAGACUGAUCAUCUACCUCCUUCAGACUUUAGUGAAUCCUCCAGCAACACAUAAGCAAUGAAGCAUCAUCUUUUUGUGCUCCUGCUUUUCACAGGAGUCCUUACCCUUGUCCUGUCUUUCUCUCGUAAGUACUAUCUGAUCCAGCAGAGCAAAACAUGGAACGAUGCUAAGGCUUUCUGCCGAGCCACAUACACUGACCUGGCUAUCAUCAAAACUAAUGAAGAGAUCGCCCAAAUUCAGAACGUAUCACAGACACAACAAUUCAAAUCUAAUGCUUGGAUUGGACUGUACACUAACAUCAACAAGUGGCAAUGGACAUUGGACAAUGAGCCGCUUGGAAGCUUUAAACCUUGGGCUAAUGGGGAGCCUGAUAACUGGCUAGUAAAUGAACGUUGUGUCGGUAUUGGCUCGAUGGUCUGGUAUGAUGCAAGAUGUGAAUGGCAGAGACCAUUUGUGUGCUUUGAUGGUGAGGAAGAACAUGUUAUUUUAUAUUAACUAUUUAUGGAAUAUUAUGAAUAAUAAACUUUAGUAAUAUGAGUAUUUUAUACAUGAGAGUUUAAAAUCUCAGUGAAUUAUAUAUAUGCUAAAGUGUGUCAGGCUUGAAAAUUUGUGUGGGGAAGGAGACCAGAGGAGGCAGGCUUUGG